AGUGAACGCUGGCGGUAGGCCUAACACAUGCAAGUCGAACGGCAGCACAGUAAGAGCUUGCUCUUACGGGUGGCGAGUGGCGGACGGGUGAGGAAUACAUCGGAAUCUACUCUUUCGUGGGGGAUAACGUAGGGAAACUUACGCUAAUACCGCAUACGACCUACGGGUGAAAGCAGGGGAUCUUCGGACCUUGCGCGAUUGAAUGAGCCGAUGUCGGAGUAGCUAGUUGGCGGGGUAAAGGCCCACCAAGGCGAGGAUCCGUAGCUGGUCUGAGAGGAUGAUCAGCCACACUGGAGCGGAGACACGGUCCAGACUCCUACGGGAGGCAGCAGUGGGGAAUAUUGGACAAUGGGCGCAAGCCUGAUCCAGCCAUACCGCGUGGGUGAAGAAGGCCUUCGGGUUGUAAAGCCCUUUUGUUGGGAAAGAAAAGCAGCAGGUUAAUACCACGCUGUUCUGACGGUACCCAAAGAAUAAGCACCGGCUAACUUCGUG
rnacentral:rRNA from 1 species